GUACCUCGCAAAACCCGAGGAGUACGCCGCCGCCGCGAGGCAGGCUGGCGACGCCGCCGCAAGGGAGAACCUCGAGAAGGCUGCCGAGUGUCUCCUCACCUCGAAGUGCUCCACCUACGAGGAGUGCGUGGCUUGGGCGAGGCUCAAGUUUCAGGAUUCCUUCCACGACAAAAUCGCGCAGCUCGUGUUCACCUUCCCCGAGGACGCCACUACCUCCACCGGCUCCCCUUUCUGGUCCGCGCCCAAGAGGUUCCCCCACGCGCUCAACUUCAGCACUGAUGAUGCUUCCAAUCUCACGCUCAUCCGCGCCAUGGCCAACCUCAAGGCCGAGCUCCACGGCUUG
rnacentral:lncRNA from 1 species